UACGAAGGGGGCUAGCGUUGUUCGGAAUUACUGGGCGUAAAGCGUGCGCAGGCGGUUUUUCAAGUCAGAGGUGAAAGCCCCGGGCUCAACCCGGGAAUGGCCUUUGAGACUGGAUGGCUAGAGUGUGAGAGAGGUGAGUGGAAUUCCCAGUGUAGAGGUGAAAUUCGUAGAUAUUGGGAAGAACACCCGUGGCGAAGGCGGCUCACUGGCUCGCAACUGACGCUCAUGCACGACAGCGUGGGGAGCAAACAGG
rnacentral:rRNA from 1 species